rnacentral:rRNA from 1 species
GAUGAACGCUGGCGGCGUGCUUAACACAUGCAAGUCGUACGGUAAGGCCCUUUCGGGGGUACACGAGUGGCGAACGGGUGAGUAACACGUGAGUAACCUGCCCACAACUUUGGGAUAACGCUAGGAAACUGGUGCUAAUACUGGAUAUGUGCUCCUGCUGCAUGGUGGGGGUUGGAAAGCUCCGGCGGUUGUGGAUGGACUCGCGGCCUAUCAGCUUGUUGGUGGGGUAGUGGCCUACCAAGGCGGCGACGGGUAGCCGGCCUGAGAGGGUGACCGGCCACAUUGGGACUGAGAUACGGCCCAGACUCCUACGGGAGGGAGCAGUGGGGAAUAUUGCACAAUGGGCGCAAGCCUGAUGCAGAAACGCCGCGUGCGGGAUGACGGCCUUCGGGUUGUAAACCGCUUUCAGCAGGGACGAAGCUUUUUGUGACGGUACCUGCAGAAGAAGCACCGGCUAACUACGUG